rnacentral:rRNA from 1 species
GACGAACGCUGGCGGCGUGCCUAACACAUGCAAGUUGAGCGAACAACCAGGGCUUGCCCUGGGGCAACGCUGCGAACGGGUGAGUAACACAUGGGUAACCUACCCCGCUAACCGGGACAACCCGAGGAAACACGGGCUAAUACCGGACGUGCUAACUGGACUUCGGUUCAGUGCGUAAAGGAAGCUUCGGCCUCCGUAUCGGGAGGGGUCCGCGGCCCAUUAGUUAGUUGGUGAGGUAACGGCUUACCAAGACCGCGAUGGGUAGCUGGUCUGAGAGGGUGAUCAGCCACACUGGAACUGAGACACGGCCCAGACUCCUACGGGAGGCAGCAGUAGGGAAUCUUGCGCAAUGGGCGAAAGCGUGACGCAGCAACGCCGCGUGAGUGAAGAAGGCCUUCGGGUUGUAAACCCCUGUCAGGAGGGACGAAGGUAUGGCGGUGAAUAGCCGUCCGGAUUGACGGUACCUCCACAGGAAGCCCCGGCUAACUACGUG